rnacentral:rRNA from 1 species
UAAUACGAAGGUGGCAAGCGUUGUUCGGAAUCACUGGGCUUAAAGCGCGCGUAGGCGGAAGUUCAAGUGUCCUGUGAAAUCCCCCGGCUCAACCGGGGAACUGCGGGGCAAAAUGGAUUUCUUGAGGCAAGUAGGGGUACAUGGAACUCUUAGUGGAGCGGUGGAAUGCGUAGAUAUUAAGAGGAACGCCGAUGGUGAAGACAGUGUACUGGGCUUGUCCUGACGCUGAGGUGCGAAAGCGUGGGGAGCGAACGGGAUUAGAUACCCCGGUAGUCCACGCCGUAAACGAUGUCUACUAGGUUGUGGAGGUUCUGACACCCUCACAGUCGAAGCAAUAGUGUUAAGUAGACUUACCUAGCGAGAGUACGGUCGCAAGGCUA